UACGGGGGGUGCGAGCGUUAAUCGGAAUAAUUGGGCGUAAAGGGCACGCAGGCGGACUUGUAAGUGUGGUGUGAAAUCCCCGGGCUUAACCUGGAAAAUGCAUUUCAGACUGGGAGUCUAGAGUACUUUAGGGGGGGGUGGAAUUCCACGUGUAGCGGUGAAAUGCGUAGAGAUGUGGAGGAAUACCGGAGGCGAAGGCGGCCCCCUGGGAAUGUACUGACGCUGAUGUGCGAAAGCGUGGGGAGCAAACAGG
rnacentral:rRNA from 1 species